rnacentral:lncRNA from 1 species
CUGAUAACGGCGUUCCACUCUUCAAGGCGAAGCUUAAGCGUCCUCCAAUUUUUACUUCUGGUUUUGUCUUGUAUGGGCUUUAGCGUGUUCAAAAACAUUAAACUCAAAUUGCAGCUUUCCUCCAUUACUUUCUGUUGCAUUUAGCAUUGCUAGAAAAAAUGCAUUCUACAUUAUAGAUAAUAUACCAGGCGUUUCAGAGAAGUUCUCAAGAGAUUAAUAGUGCAGCACAGCAGGGGUAAAGGAACAAUUUUUUCAGCACCUAAUUCAUGGUGGCCAACAUCAGGAGCUGUGUAAUAAUCUUUAAGGGAUUAAGUAAGCUAAAGUGUACUAAGUAUCUUUUUAAACUGCAAAAUUGAAGCCAGCCAGUACACAGUGUGUAUUCAUUUGCUAGAAAUCAUGGUUAGAAUUAGCUCAUUCCUGUGAAAUACAUCCUUUUGAUGUGCGAUGAAAUGCACUGCUGUUACAGUUAAAAAGUUUUGCUAAUAUUGCUGAAGUCUUCUCCAAGACAUCUGGUGUGUGUAUGUUGAAGUGUAUUGCUGAUCAAGGUAGAAAACUGAAGUAUAUCUUUCAAAUGUGGCUCACUGGCUACUCUAUGGCUUAGCACAACAACCAGCAGGCAUACUACACCUAAGCCCAAUGUUGUAAGUUUGAUUUAUUUGAGAUUACGUGUUGGACAGAAUGAAAAUAAAUGCAUUUAUAUGCAUUGCAUUUAACUGAUUCACUAAAGCAUUGCUUUAUAUAGAUUUCACUAUGUGUGUUGGGUAUGUAUAUUUUUUCCUCUUUCUGUGAUGUUAAUGCAUUUGUUACACAUGCACACACAUACAUGGAGGCAAUGUACAAAGCACUUUCGUGUUCCACAUCUGUAGCAUGUUCAUUACAGCUGAGAUGUAUUACAUCCCAUAUUGGUUAUUUUGUGAUUGGUAAAUUGAGCAGGCACCUUGCAUUUCAUGGCAUUCAUCAAGCAGGUGUUUGGUUUCAUGCAUUUCUUAGGCAAAUGGUUGGUUUGAGAGCAAGUGGCGAUUGUGAUCUUGGAAAUAUAUGGAUGACAAAUUUGAUACUUGGCCAUAGUAAGCAUGCUUCUUUGUUGCUACAUAUAAUUUAACAGCCAAUAAUGUACAGCUGCUUAAGUCUGUGCCUAACACAUUUUUGUGCUUGGUUCCCACUUUAUCUUUAAUUACAUCUGUAAAGAUUCUCUUAAUUGUUAUCACAAUAUUUUAUUGCCGUGGAGAUCACGUCGUCAUAUAUUUGUGCAUUUGUGGCUGCUUCCAAACUGUUCAUAACCAUUUAUUCAAUUAUUUGUGAUGUGUGUUUUGUACAUAGGAGGUAUGCAGUGUGACAUGACUUGAUUGCUGGUAGUGUUGUACCAUUAUCUUGAUUGCAGGUAGUGUUGUACUAUUGUUAUUUUAAUGGGACCAAGCAGUAAAAAAGGCCACAUCACUAGUUGGCUAACCUUGAUGCACUGUGUCUUGUAGCAUAACAUCACCAUCAAAAGAUUGUGGAAUAUGCCCCCGUGAAAGUUUUUCUGGCAUCUUGCAUGUUUUUGCACAAACAAGUUUUUUUCUUUUAUAUGUAUCGAGACUCAGAAAACAUCUUUGCACGAUUGCUAUAACUUGGAAUUGUCAGGGUGGACUGCCCUCACAGUGAACAGGCAUUACGGCAGGAAUGGACACAGGUGCUUAGUGUUUAGUUUCUGCACUAUUCACUAAAGAAAUCUUAUUUUUUGCAUUUUUUACAAAGCAAAUCUUUGUGCACUUGGAUAUUUCUGUUCUGUAGGCUUUUUCAGACUGGCUAUCUUUCUAUCAGAUUGCCUGGAAAGGGACAUUUAAGAUUGUGUACUCUAGUUACAUGAAAUGUUGACCGCUGUUGUUUGCGUUACUCAAGCGAGUUCUUAUUAUUGAUGAUAUUUAUUAAGCAGGCUAACUGGCAGUUAACCUCUGUUGUGAUCUUGCCGAUAUUGCGGUAAAUAAUUUGUAAAGCCUUAUCUGAUGGCUUCUUUUGCAUGUACAAGGGAAUUUAAAGGUAAUUCAUUUUGUUUUACUGAUGCAUUCGCUUGUUGGAACUGUUGUAGAAAUUAGCAGCAGUGUGUGUUUUUACUCUAAUCAUUGUGUAGAUCGCGUUAACUUAUUUCAUCAAAAUAAAUACUGUUCCUUGCACAUUGUUAGUCUGAAAAAACUUUCUUCGCAUGAAGAAUCGGGACGAUACACAUCGUUACGAAUAAUUCCAGCAAGUUCUUUAGAGUAUGAAUAAGUUCUUUCUCUAGUCACUGAAUAUCUGGCGGCACUUUUAGUUUGAAACGUAAAAGCCAUGGUUUACACAGCAACUGUGUCUUACCACCAUCAUGCCCAUGAGGUGCAUAUGAUAUAAAGCUAUUUGUGUUGCCAUGUAUAUAGGUGUUUGUGAACAUGGCUGCCAUUGAUUCUCUUGGAGUGCUGCACUUUCUCAGUUACUUGCGUGCAAUAUGCUUUGUGACUUAACAUGGUCAGCUAAUUUCUAAAGCCAAAUAAUAUAACGUAUUAUUUUUCAUCACAGAUGUUUAAACAACAUACUUAAUUAUAUAUAUCUUUGUGUUUAAAAAUGCCUCUUUCUUUUUUUUGAGGGUCAUACACCAUGAUACCUAAAUUCUAUUGGUUAUAUAGAGGUGUUAAUUUGUAGACUUCAUGCUUGAGUUGUCUGGAGAGUCUGUAUGAGCCUGUGAAAAGUGAAGUGUACUCAAUUGCCUUUUGUUACUUAUGGCAUGCUCAUUAAAAGUUUUUCUUUUUUUGUAGCUUUGUUAAAGGAUAUGGAUUCUUCAAUGCCUGGGCCAUCUUUUUGUGUUGUUUCGUGUUGUUUUGUAUAGAGCCAUGCUUGCCAUAACUUCAGCUUUAUGGCAUCUGAAAACCAAUGCUUAACUAUUGAGGCUUUAAAACAUAUAUAAUAUUAACAAUGGACAGUGAGUAGAAUAGUGUUUCCAUUGUGUAGUGCCAGGUUGCAUGUGCUAACACUGUAUAGUACAGUGCGUUCAUGAAAUUGCAUGUGCUUGGCAACAUAGUUAGAAAUGAUCACCUUUUACAUCUUGAUAAUACCAUAGCUGUCUCUCUCUCUCUUUUUUUUUUUUUUUUUACUAAGUUGCAUUGCGUGUAAUGUUGCUGACCUUAUGGCAUCUCUUUUUAUUAUAUAGCACUAAAUGUGACAUGUAAUGUCUGCUUUAGAAGAGCACUGCUCUAACUUUGCAAAGCUUCUCGUGGUUACUUCUAAUUUGAGCCAUAUUUUUUGUUGUACCGCAUAGUAAGUCCUUGCUUUUUUAUGAUUACAAGCAGCUUGCUUUACUUUUUUUCACCUUGCUGGCUAAAUUACUUCUAUAAAUGUUUUCAGUCAGACUGCCAGAAUUUAAUUUACAUUUUUAAACAAAGUUAAGCUUAACGGUUCAUUUUAUGAAAGCAGCAAGCCUCUCUCUUUGUGAGCCAUGGUUAAUCUGCACCUGUGUGGAAAACUCAUUCCUGCUUUGACCGCAGUGUUCACAUGACUGCUUUUACAGCCGAUAUUGCGCACACCCUUUGUGUAUGAUUAGAGGUCCCUUGCUACAGAAUUGACACUGCUACUCAGCUUAUGUUUACUCUGCAGCUAUACUUUUAGAGCUUGAGAUUAGAGCGCUUUUUUCUUGACAUGGACUGCUAUAUGAAUUGCUUGAUUGUUUGUUAAUGUGCCACCGUGAUAUUAAAUGUCAUGGAAAAGCAGCUCCUUUCUUUUCUCUUCCCCUUCCCCGAUUUUGUUUCUUUUCCUGGCUGUGUGCUGAUGCAGGGGUGCAAGGGGACAGCAGCGGUGGUCUCGGACGCUGGCACUUCUCGUCGGUUCGGCUGUACAACCACUUUCGUGGGAGCGCUGAGGGCAACUACCGAUGCGAUCCUUGUGCCAAGUUCUUCAAGAAUGUCAGCUCCUGGCGUCAACACCAAUACUACCAGCACCGGUCGCACAGGCGGUUCCCUUGCGAGUACUGCGGCAAGUCGUUUACGACCAAAUGGUACCAGGGCCAGCACAUCCAGAAUGUCCACCGGUCUGAGAACAAAGGGACAGUGAGGGCCUCGAUUUCAAGUACAGAAUGGACAGACUUCGGUGCACAAAUGGGAGCAAGCUACACAUGGUGACAUUGCUGCAGCUUGCGAGUGACCUGCAGUUUGCACUUCUCAAUGCUGUCUGCCACAGCCCGUUGUGGCUGCUCAUGCUAUGCACUUGAAAAUGUCAACCCUUAUAGAAGGUUUACAUACUAUGCUGAGACUAAUGUGACCAUUAGAAAAUGAACAGUAGAAUGUUAAGUGAUUUACUAAGUGUUCUUCAGUUAAUGAAUAAGCAGCAGUACUGUUAAAGGUAGCGACUAUAAUAAUCACAUAGAGAGGCAUACUUUGGCUUUGUUGCACAAAGUUUACACAAACAUUGCAUCUUAAGUAGAGGUAUAAUUACAGGGGGGUGAGGGGGUUGAAAAACAACUGGCACCUCAUGUCUUCCUCACGUCAAAUGCAGUCAACUCUUCAUGCAAGCAUGAAUGUUACUGUCCCUCUUGCCCCUUCUCCGAGAAACACUUAGGGCCUCAUUCUCACAUCUGCUCCAUCCUGCCGCUGUCACGACACUAGUUCCCAUCAGGGGAGAGGACUGGCCUCUUGUUGAAAAUGGGUUUCACAUGCAUUGUAAACCAGUGCUCUACAUUUUGAUUGAUGUGAUUCCACCUGAUCGAGAAUUGGCCAAGCUUUAAACACUAGAAAUGUAAAAUGUUGAAUUGAGUGCCCCCUGUACUCCAAAGUUCCUGCAUGUGCAGGUUGCUAGGUUAUUGCUAAAGAAAUGUGUAUGAAUUUCUCGACUUGAAUGUAAAUUUUCACUUGAGUGCUAUUGCA